rnacentral:misc_RNA from 1 species
GUUUGAAGUGGAUGCCAAUUACAGAUAUAUGAAGGUUUAUGAUCGGUUAGCUGUAGAUCGAUGGCAAAAGCAAUUGGUCCCAUGUGAGUCUAUGUUGGAACUUAGCCUUGUUAAUUGCAUCAUCAGCCCAGGGAGAGGGCUUGCUUGUGUGUUGGGAAAGUGCAAAAAUUUGGAAAAGAUCCAUUUGGACAUGUGUGUUGGGGUGAGGGACUGUGACAUUAUAGACUUAGCACUAAAAUCAAAAAAUCUACGGU